UUGGGGAAUAUUGCACAAUGGGCGCAAGCCUGAUGCAGCCAUGCCGCGUGUAUGAAGAAGGCCUUCGGGUUGUAAAGUACUUUCAGCGGGGAGGAAGGGAGUAAAGUUAAUACCUUUGCUCAUUGACGUUACCCGCAGAAGAAGCACCGGCUAACUCCGUGCCAGCAGCCGGCGGUAAUACAA
rnacentral:rRNA from 1 species